rnacentral:rRNA from 1 species
UACGUAGGGCGCAAGCGUUAUCCGGAAUUAUUGGGCGUAAAGAGCUCGUAGGCGGUUUGUCGCGUCUGCCGUGAAAGUCCGGGGCUCAACUCCGGAUCUGCGGUGGGUACGGGCAGACUAGAGUGAUGUAGGGGAGACUGGAAUUCCUGGGUGUAGCGGUGAAAUGCGCAGAUAUCAGGAGGAACACCGAUGGCGAAGGCAGGUCUCUGGGCAUUAACUGACGCUGAGGAGCGAAAGCAUGGGGAGCGAACAGGA